AGUCGACGAUGAAGCCUUUCGGGGUGGAUUAGUGGCGAACGGGUGAGUAACACGUGGGCAAUCUGCCCUUCACUCUGGGACAAGCCCUGGAAACGGGGUCUAAUACCGGAUAACACUCUGUCCUGCAUGGGACGGGGUUAAAAGCUCCGGCGGUGAAGGAUGAGCCCGCGGCCUAUCAGCUUGUUGGUGGGGUAAUGGCCUACCAAGGCGACGACGGGUAGCCGGCCUGAGAGGGCGACCGGCCACACUGGGACUGAGACACGGCCCAGACUCCUACGGGAGGCAGCAGUGGGGAAUAUUGCACAAUGGGCGAAAGCCUGAUGCAGCGACGCCGCGUGAGGGAUGACGGCCUUCGGGUUGUAAACCUCUUUCAGCAGGGAAGAAGCGAAAGUGACGGUACCUGCAGAAGAAGCGCCGGCUAACUACGUGCCAGCAGCCGCGGUAAUACGUAGGGCGCAAGCGUUGUCCGGAAUUAUUGGGCGUAAAGAGCUCGUAGGCGGCUUGUCACGUCGGAUGUGAAAGCCCGGGGCUUAACCCCGGGUCUGCAUUCGAUACGGGCUAGCUAGAGUGUGGUAGGGGAGAUCGGAAUUCCUGGUGUAGCGGUGAAAUGCGC
rnacentral:rRNA from 1 species